CUAUUCUUUUUUCUUUUUUUUUUACUGUAAAUAAUUAGUCAAACAGUAACUUAGUAUCAUUCAGUUGAAGAAUAAAAAGAAAAUAAACAACAGAUUUCUAAGCUCAGACAGGUGGUCCGAUAAGAUAUUUUUUGGAGGUUAGGAAAAUGUACCCUGCAUAGUUUCUAUUGGAUUUUAAACUCUUUCUGUAUGUUUCAUAGGAAGUACCUGUAAUGUAUUAUAUUAUUAUGUAGUGCCGAUUUAUGUCCCUUGAAAAUACUACUAGUUAUGAGGAGUUCUUGUAUAUGUAGACACAAUUUUAUUACAUGGAAAUGCCCCAUUGUGAUCAAUUUUUUUUUUUUUUUUGGUCAAACCAAAUGGAGAUUGAAUUUGCUCUCAGUUUUAUUGAGAUGAAUGUAAAUCAUCUGCAAGUGACCAUUCAUGGGGGAAAAAAAAAUUAAAAAUGAAGGAACACUUGUUGCUUUGUAUAUUUUGCAGAUAAACCAUUGCUUCUAGGGAACUGGGUUUACCAUGCUAAACUCUAUGCAUUGGCUAAAUCAUAAAAUAGUAAAGCAAAUUCUGCUUUAACAUGCUACAUGAAUAGGUGUUUCUCCGGAGAAGGCACCAGGGCAACAAUGUCUGAUGAUGAUGUUUGAUGGAAGUUUUGAUGGACCUGACACCAUGGGAUUUGGUUCUCUUAUCCCAACAAAGCGCGAGAGAUCCUUGAUGGAAUGUGUAAGGCAAGAGCUAAAGCAUGAAUUGAAACAGGUUUGGGACUAAAUAUUUGGUUGUGUAAUGUUUUGUACAUUUUCAGUGUCACUAACAUUCUUUUCCUUUUCUUUUUUUAUUUUUUUAUUUUAAAUAUAGGGUUACAAGGAGAAACUUGUGGACAAUAGGGAGGAAAUUUGACGAAAGAAAAGGAGGAAAUUUUAGAACAUGAAAACAAUUCAUCUAUCCUUGCAUUGCUUCUUCACUAUAGGAGGUUGCUGUGAUUUUCUCCCUUGUAGCUUCUUCUUUUAAGUCUUUGCAUUUUUUUUUAAUAAUUAUAUUCAAUAGCACCUUUUGGAGAUUUCCUUGUUUGUUAGUGAUCUCUCAAUCUUAGGACUUGUUACAUUUUCAUACCAUUCUUCGAGAAAGUUUGCUUAAGAAUUAGGUUGAAUGCUAUUGGUCUGAAAUCUCUCUUUGAUGUAAGAUUUCAGUUGUCGAUAGAUGUCGCAAUCCAUGUUUCAUCAACACCUAAGGUUGUAUUUGUUUUAUCGGAGAAUACGGGAAAAAUUAAUUUCCAAGAUAUUCAGGUAAUAAGGUUGUUUGUUUAGUUUGGAAUUUCAAAAUUUUAUGGAAUGAUAUUCCAAAAUUUAAGUUGCCCGGACAUCCAGUCAUCAAAAAAAAUUUUUAAGAAAAAUUAUUGGAAAACAACUUCCCAUACUUCAAUCCAAAUGUUAUUUUCUAGAUUUAGGAAAAAUUUAUAUAAGGAGUAUCAAAACAAGAGUCCUUGUUGUAUUAUGAUAUUUAUAAAAAUGAGACUUGGUUUAAAAUUUGCAUCUGGUUAAUUUCAUUAUCUAGCUCAUGUUUCAUACUUUCAUAAGUCAAUACAAAGGUUGUUGUAAGCAUUGUUAGAUAAUGUUUUUGUUUUAUACAAAUAAAUGGGCAAAGUUGAUCAUGUUAUUUACUUUUGUAACAAAUUUAAAGUCAAUAAAUUCUAAAAACUUGAAAAAUUAAUAUUAAAAACUAAUUGCCCUCUCCAAACCCCACUUUAGUGAGAGCCUCGUGCAUUGGGUUGCCCUUUGGGUGGAAGAGUGCAAAUUCUCUAUCAUUGUUGAGAAAUUCAAUGGAUCUUUAGUUAUUGGGCCAUCUCGUUAAACAAGGAUUUUGAUAGGGAUGUUGCUUAGCCAUUGCACUCAUUCUCCACUUUGUUUUGGGCCUCGUCUUCCCCCUACUUCUAUUGAUUGAUAUUCUUGUCAAAUGAGAACAAAUAAUACAGUUACCUUUCAUUGAUUUUGAUAAUUAUUACCUUUUAGGAUCUUGUGCCAUGAUUUUGAUGGGGAUGUUUUAGGAUCCAGAGGGCAAAGGGAGCUUGCACUUCUUUCUAAAAGCUAAAGGGUGGGCAACUUCCAUAUCAGCUGGUGUUGGGGAUGAAGGGAUGCACAGAUCUUUGAUAGCUUAUAUUUUUGGCAUGUCUAUACACCUCACUGACUCUGGCUUGGAAAAGAUCUUUGAUAUCAUUGGCUAUGUUUAUCAAUACCUUAAGUUAUUGCGUCAAGUUUCUCCCCAAUAAUGGAUAUUUAAGGAACUCCAGGAUAUUGGAAAUAUGGAAUUUAGAUUUGCAGAAGAACAACCUCAAGAUGAUUAUGCUGCAGAGCUUGCAGGUUAUCUUCUUUUUGUUCUUUUUACCUCUUGCAUCAACUUUGUUGUAUUCAAUUGACAGUCCCUUAGUUUGAGGUGUUUAAAUUGCUUGAGUGCAAUUAUUUGCGAUGAGUUUGGCCUCUUGCUGCUAGCUCAGAACAGACUUCAUUCACUAAUUCAUUUGCUAGCACUGGUGCCUUCUUCUAUCAUAUGUGGUCCAUCAUUUUGAAAUUCUAAGUGCUUUUGCACUAGGAAAGUUGGUGAUGGAAGUUGUUUGGAUACUUUCGAACCAGAAAUGAGAUCAAGAAUAUAUAUUUUGCCAAUGGCAAAGAUAAUUAUUAUGGAUAGCUUUGACAAUAAGCAUGAGCUUAGUGUCUUGCUGCUAGCUCAGAACAGGCUUCAUUCACUAAUUCAUUUGCUAGCACUGGCACAUUCUUCUAUCAUAUGUGGUCCAUCAUUUUGAAAUUCUAAGUGCUUUUGCACUAGGAAAGUUGUGAUGGAAGUUGUUUGGAUCCUAUCGAGCCAGAAAUGAGAUCAAGAACAUAUAUUUUGCCAAUGGCAGAGAUAAUUAUUGAAAGCUUUAUGAUAACAUAACAUCACAUUAGUAUUUUCUUACAGUUAGUUUCCUAAAUCUUGUGUUUUAUCAAAUUCAAAUAAAUUUAUGGAGUUCUCAGAAUCUCGAUGAACUAAUUUUAUUCUGUCCAAAAAAAAAAAAAAA